rnacentral:rRNA from 1 species
GAUGAACGCUGGCGGCGUGCCUAAUACAUGCAAGUCGAGCGAACGGACGAGAAGCUUGCUUCUCUGAUGUUAGCGGCGGACGGGUGAGUAACACGUGGAUAACCUGCCUAUAAGACUGGGAUAACUUCGGGAAACCGGAGCUAAUACCGGAUAAUAUUUUGAACCGCAUGGUUCAAAAGUGAAAGACGGUCUUGCUGUCACUUUUAGAUGGAUCCGCGCUGCAUUAGCUAGUUGGUAAGGUAACGGCUUACCAAGGCAACGAUGCAUAGCCGACCUGAGAGGGCGAUCGGCCACACUGGAACUGAGACACGGUCCAGACUCCUACGGGAGGCAGCAGUAGGGAAUCUUCCGCAAUGGGCGAAAGCCUGACGGAGCAACGCCGCGUGAGUGACGAAGGUCUUCGGAUCGUAAAACUCUGUUAUUAGGGAAGAACAUAUGUGUAAGUAACUGUGCACAUCUUGACGGUACCUAAUCAGAAAGCCACGGCUAACUACGUGCCAGCAGCCGCGGUAAUACGUAGGUGGCAAGCGUUAUCCGGAAUUAUUGGGCGUAAAGCGCGCGUAGGCGGUUUUUUAAGUCUGAUGUGAAAGCCCACGGCUCAACCGUGGAGGGUCAUUGGAAACUGGAAAACUUGAGUGCAGAAGAGGAAAGUGGAAUUCCAUGUGUAGCGGUGAAAUGCGCAGAGAUAUGGAGGAACACCAGUGGCGAAGGCGACUUUCUGGUCUGUAACUGACGCUGAUGUGCGAAAGCGUGGGGAUCAAACAGGAUUAGAUACCCUGGUAGUCCACGCCGUAAACGAUGAGUGCUAAGUGUUAGGGGGUUUCCGCCCCUUAGUGCUGCAGCUAACGCAUUAAGCACUCCGCCUGGGGAGUACGACCGCAAGGUUGAAACUCAAAGGAAUUGACGGGGACCCGCACAAGCGGUGGAGCAUGUGGUUUAAUUCGAAGCAACGCGAAGAACCUUACCAAAUCUUGACAUCCUUUGACCCUUCUAGAGAUAGAAGUUUCCCCUUCGGGGGACAAAGUGACAGGUGGUGCAUGGUUGUCGUCAGCUCGUGUCGUGAGAUGUUGGGUUAAGUCCCGCAACGAGCGCAACCCUUAAGCUUAGUUGCCAUCAUUAAGUUGGGCACUCUAAGUUGACUGCCGGUGACAAACCGGAGGAAGGUGGGGAUGACGUCAAAUCAUCAUGCCCCUUAUGAUUUGGGCUACACACGUGCUACAAUGGACAAUACAAAGGGCAGCGAAACCGCGAGGUCAAGCAAAUCCCAUAAAGUUGUUCUCAGUUCGGAUUGUAGUCUGCAACUCGACUACAUGAAGCUGGAAUCGCUAGUAAUCGUAGAUCAGCAUGCUACGGUGAAUACGUUCCCGGGUCU